ensembl:lncRNA
AUGCAGUGAAUGUGUGUCUGCGGAGGUCAUCCAGAUCACACACUAUGACAAGGAUACAUGUCCAGCAAUCUACUGAUGAGUCAUCCACUCCCUCUUGGUCUCCUGGCAGGCGGCUCAACAGGAAGGCGAUAAGUUCAUCUCUGUUCUGGAACAUUCGGGUGGUAUUGCUAUGCUUAUUGAAAUGUACGAUUAGUAUCUCACUUUGUCAUGUCGAAGCAGAGGCAUCUCCACCUAGCCAUACAAAUAUAUACUAUACGCUCCUAAAUGUGUGAAGAGCUAUAUCACUUUAUGUAUUUAACAUUAAAAAUCAACUGAUUGUAAGUUGCAGCACAGCUAUAUAUUUACUGUCACUGUUAUGGGUCAUACUCUGCCAUACAUCUGUCUCUGUGUUGUGUGGUGUGUCCCGCCCCAUCUAACUUAGUUUCAUUUCUCAGUAAACCUCAACACAAGGCUACUCCCUAUACAGGAAACGGAACAGAUCCUAUCACUCUCAGACUGUUCUAGAAGCUUGAGGAAACAGAACAGAUCCUGCCACUCUCAGACUGUUCUAGAAGCUUCAGGAAACAGAACAGAUCCUGCCACUCUCAGACUGUUCUAGAAGCCUCAGGGAACUUUAUGCUGUGCAAUUAUUUUGAUCCCUUAGUAUUGUCAUGCUAUGUCACAUACUUAUGUCAAAGAGAAAGCGUGUUUUUCAGACACGUUGAACCUAUAUUUGUUUAAUCUGAUAAGUCCACUCUUUCAAGUGUAAACUGUUUUACUAUUAAUACACUUGCUGGUCUUUGUGGGUAGGAAAGUAAAGCAUUUAAAGACUACAACAUCCUAAUCCUAAUGAGUAUUGAGCAUAUACAGUAUAUUCACUUCACUUAUGUUUGACUUACAUUACUGAAAUCACGCAGGCUUUCUGCAGAGCCAUAGAGCUAGUAUGUUCAAGUUUGAAAUGUCUUUACUUGCCAUCAGAGUCUCUUCUUGGAGACAGAAACCUGCACGUGCAGUAAGUAGAAAGAAGUUCACAGACACACAAAAAGGUUUCCGUUACAGCUUUUGCCAUUUUUAUUAAUUUUUUUUGUAAGGAAAACAAGCGUACAGCAUUACUUAUUAGAAACUGUCGGGGUGUGUUUCACGAAUGGGUCCCCUCGACCCACCAACCAAGCAACAGACAACUAGAAGCCACCCUGUAGAGGGUAACUUUAACAUUUUAAGCUUUUAAACUUUUUCGUGGUUUGUUUGUUUGUUUGUUUGUUUGCUUUGUUUGUUUGUUUGCUUUGUUUGUUGUGGUUGCUUCUUGCAUGGGUUGCUUCUUUGGUCUGUUGCUUCGUCAGCAGUCGAUGGGGACACCAGGCGCUGCUCACUAGAGACCUGUGCCUCCAGACCGGGGAACAACGGGGAACCUCGACGAGUCGGGAUCCUCCGCUGACAUCACCGGACUAAAGCACACAAGGUCCAAGUGACCCUACCCUUGGGAGCAGGGAUUUUCCUCCACUUCUCCAAAAACCUGGGGAACAGAAGUACCUUUCAGUGACACAGCCAGCAGGAAGUGCGAGUGCAUAGUCUACACCCCGUGAGGCACAGUGAGUCAGCUAUCACUGUGUGAACUUUACAAACAAAACAAUCUGUAAUAGGCUUCUUCCACAAACAUGAUGGAGCAUUAUGAUAGAGCAAUGGACCCAUUAAUAGAAUAUAAAUGACAGCAUUAGGCAUUCUCUAGUGCAGUGUUCCACUGAAUACCACAGUUAUGUUUAAUUAAAUAGCCUAUAUCACUGCAACACAUAUUAUAUAGUUGGCCGUUACAAGACAGCUCGUAGAAAUCCGACAUUGGUAUGCUGAGCAGAAACUGGAAAAACUCUGUUGAGACAGUUUGCCAUUGGCUAUACUCACAUAAAGAGUGCAAGCAGACAGAAUGAGGCUCUAUGGCAUCUGUCAACGAUGGAUGGCUGUUCCCACCAUUGUAGGUCAACGAUAACCGACGAUUGUCGAUUGACGAUCGUUGGUCAUCGUUGAUCGACAGGAUGUUCACCCAUUGGACCAUCGUUGACCGACAGCAUCUUCAACGCGAAGAACGUCUCUAUGGCCCUGUGUGAGGAAUACAACAUAGGUGGGGUUUUCUCAUCGACAAAUAAGAUACCUAGUGCAUCUCAAGACAUCGAAGAUGAAUGUCAUUCAUUCCCUCGAAAAGCAUGAACUAAAUUCAAUUCAAUUCAAUUUUAUUUAUAUAGCGCCACAAUACAAUUGUCUCUUGUCUCUAGGCGCUAAGACGUUUUCCCUUAUUUUUAUUAUUAUUCCUGUGACUUGCAGGCUGCAGGUUGAAGUUUUUCUUCGUUACGGUUUUUACAUUUAUUUGUAAAAUGCUAAGGUAGGCUACUCACCCAAGAUCCUUCGGGCAGACGAGUCUGCAGGAUAGAAAGGACCUGACAACGGUGACAAGAUCUUUUAUACCUGAAGGCUCCUCCUCCGUGGGCAUCUGUCCUGUGUUACUUUCGUUUCCUCAGAAAAGCUGUUAAAGAUGUGUCAGCGAGGAAGGGAGGGGUGAGGGGCCUUAGUUAUGGUAGCUAAAUGUGAUAUUUAUGAUUGAUAGUACCGCAUCCUGUCUGCUUACUUUUAAUUAUCCUCCGUGCACAGAAAUACAAGCCAUAUUUUAAAUUAAGCAGGCAAUAGACAUCGACGUUAUCGAUUAAUUUCUCAGUAGACCUACUAACAAUGGAAGUAGCUUAUUAAGAAACUCCGUAUGAUAUCCUGCUGUUUAUUUAUCACAUGCCAUCACUUUUGAUAAUGAUAAUGCGCAGGGCUCUCAAGUUUUGAAGACAGCCAAGAGUGACAUAUCCCCCCCCCCUCCCGACCACGCCCCCAUUCCGCCCGCC